GUGAGGAAUAUUGGACAAUGGGCGCAAGCCUGAUCCAGCCAUGCCGCGUGCAGGAAGACGCAUCUAUGGUGUGUAAACUGCUUUUGUACGGGAAGAAACACUCCCUCGUGAGGGAGCUUGACGGUACCGUAAGAAUAAGGAUCGGCUAACUCCGUGCCAGCAGCCGCGGUAAUACGGAGGAUCCAAGCGUUAUCCGGAAUCAUUGGGUUUAAAGGGUCCGUAGGCGGUUUAAUAAGUCAGUGGUGAAAGCCCAUCGCUCAACGAUGGAACGGCCAUUGAUACUGUUAGACUUGAAUUACAAGGAAGUAACUAGAAUAUGUAGUGUAGCGGUGAAAUGCUUAGAUAUUACAUGGAAUACCAAUUGCGAAGGCAGGUUACUACUUGUGGAUUGACGCUGAUGGACGAAAGCGUGGGGAGCGAACAGGAUUAGAAACCCUAGGUCC
rnacentral:rRNA from 1 species